UGCAGUCGAACGGUGAAGCCCCGCUUGCGGGGUGGAUCAGUGGCGAACGGGUGAGUAACACGUGAGCAACCUGCCCCUGACUCUGGGAUAAGCGCUGGAAACGGCGUCUAAUACUGGAUACGAACCGCAGCCGCAUGGCUCGUGGUUGGAAAGAUUUUUUGGUUGGGGAUGGGCUCGCGGCCUAUCAGCUUGUUGGUGAGGUAAUGGCUCACCAAGGCGUCGACGGGUAGCCGGCCUGAGAGGGUGACCGGCCACACUGGGACUGAGACACGGCCCAGACUCCUACGGGAGGCAGCAGUGGGGAAUAUUGCACAAUGGGCGAAAGCCUGAUGCAGCAACGCCGCGUGAGGGACGACGGCCUUCGGGUUGUAAACCUCUUUUAGCAAGGAAGAAGCGAAAGUGACGGUACUUGCAGAAAAAGCGCCGGCUAACUACGUGCCAGCAGCCGCGGUAAUACGUAGGGCGCAAGCGUUAUCCGGAAUUAUUGGGCGUAAAGAGCUCGUAGGCGGUUUGUCGCGUCUGCUGUGAAAUCCCGAGGCUCAACCUCGGGCCUGCAGUGGGUACGGGCAGACUAGAGUGCGGUAGGGGAGAUUGGAAUUCCUGGUGUAGCGGUGGAAUGCGCAGAUAUCAGGAGGAACACCGAUGGCGAAGGCAGAUCUCUGGGCCGUAACUGACGCUGAGGAGCGAAAGGGUGGGGAGCAAACAGGCUUAGAUACCCUGGUAGUCCACCCCGUAAACGUUGGGAACUAGUUGUGGGGUCCUUUCCACGGAUUCCGUGACGCAGCUAACGCAUUAAGUUCCCCGCCUGGGGAGUACGGCCGCAAGGCUAAAACUCAAAGGAAUUGACGGGGACCCGCACAAGCGGCGGAGCAUGCGGAUUAAUUCGAUGCAACGCGAAGAACCUUACCAAGGCUUGACAUACACGAGAACACCCUAGAAAUAGGGGACUCUUUGGACACUCGUGAACAGGUGGUGCAUGGUUGUCGUCAGCUCGUGUCGUGAGAUGUUGGGUUAAGUCCCGCAACGAGCGCAACCCUCGUUCUAUGUUGCCAGCACGUAAUGGUGGGAACUCAUGGGAUACUGCCGGGGUCAACUCGGAGGAAGG
rnacentral:rRNA from 1 species